AUUGAACGCUGGCGGCAUGCCUUACACAUGCAAGUCGAACGGCAGCACGGGAGCAAUCCUGGUGGCGAGUGGCGAACGGGUGAGUAAAGUAUCGGAACGUGCCCAGUCGUGGGGGAUAACGUAGCGAAAGUUACGCUAAUACCGCAUACGAUCUAUGGAUGAAAGCGGGGGAUCGCAAGACCUCGCGCGAUUGGAGCGGCCGAUAUCAGAUUAGGUAGUUGGUGGGGUAACGGCUCACCAAGCCGACGAUCUGUAGCUGGUCUGAGAGGACGACCAGCCAGACUGGGACUGAGACACGGCCCAGACGCCUACGGGAGGCAGCAGUGGGGAAUUUUGGACAAUGGGCGCAAGCCUGAUCCAGCCAUGCCGCGUGCAGGAUGAAGGCCUUCGGGUUGUAAACUGCUUUUGUACGGAACGAAAAGGUUUGACUUAAUACGUUGGACUCAUGACGGUACCGUAAGAAUAAGCACCGGCUAACUACGUGCCAGCAGCCGCAGUAA
rnacentral:rRNA from 1 species